CACCAAUAAUGAGAGACAAAAUUAAAAAAUAAUUUUCACCAAGGAAAACUAAAUUGGAACUGUUUUAAACUGAUUAAAUUUGUUAAGAAAAAGCCAAUUAAUUGAAAAAAAGUAUGAUACUAAAACAUAGAUUUUGUUAAUUGAAAAGGAUUAGCAAAAUUACCUUUAUAGUCAUCGGCCGAUCAGGGCUUCGUUUUCAUUCAAAAUAGCAGAGAAGAAAAGCACAGUUUACGCGCGAAAUGAAGAAUGGGGUCGCAAUCUGAAGCAAUUACAGAUCACUCUCCUCUACAAUGUCGAUUUCUCAAUUUCCAAAUAGUUCCUCUUGGAAAUCCCAUCAAGAUUUCCCGAUAUUCAAAACCUCUGAUAAGUUUGCUCAUUUGAUUUUUCAAGCUUCUUGUCAUCCACAGGAUUGGCCUCGUCCUGCAGCUUAUAUGAUGAGAAUCCUCUCGCCUCAAGAUCUGAUUAAUGUAAACGAGAUCGAUACAGAUCUUAUAAAAGCUUCUAACGAUUCUUAUUUUUCUUCCAGACCUAUUUUUCCAUAUUGUUCCCUCAACCAGUACCUCUGACAGUGAAUAGUCUUCCUCUAGAACUAAGUGCUACAAAGUGAAGAUGUCUUAGUCUGAAUAUAACUGAAAUGAAGGUGUACAUGGUGACAUUGAAGAUGAAUAUGGCCUCAGAAGGUGCUUCAUUUCCACUACCAGAAAGUGCACCAACAAAUUACAGAUUAUGGCAAAUUUGCUUCAGUCAGCCAUCAAAUAGAAGACGCAAAUAGAGUAGCGACUUGCUGACUUCUAGUAAUAUUUGACCAUAAUGUAGAUGAUGAUGAGCAAGCUCAAGUGAGGCUUCAAGUUCAGGGACAUAAAACACAUAAAAUACGGCCUCAGGAAGAUGACAUACUUGAAUAUGGGGGGGAUUGUUAAACUGCUGAACCAUUGUUGAUCUUACCUGCAAUCUUUCUGGUUGUGACAGUGCUCAGUGUGGUCGUUUGUUAUCAAACUACAAUAUUCCAUACUCAUUCUCGGUGCUUGCCCACUGGAUCUAGCAAUUCCAAGUUUCAUUCACUUAGCUUCAUUUUAUUUUCUUGUGGGGGGAGGGUGGAUAUUCUUUUCUUGUCUGUGUAACCCAUGGAUGUCAGUAUUAAAGCUAAAACAGUUGUUAUGCUCCGUUACAAGGAAUGAUGAGAUCUUGAUUGUACUGUCACUUUGUAGUGUAGUUAUCUCUCCUUCUGAAACCCGAGCACACAUCAGAUCUUUUUGUUCUCUA